CCAAGGAGUCUAACAUGUGCGCGAGUCAUUGGGUCUCACGAAACCUAAAGGCGCAAUGAAAGUGAAGGCAGCCUCGGGUUUGCCUAGGUAGGAUCCUUUCCUUUCAAUGGAGAGGCGCACUACCGGCCCGUCUCGUCCGCGUUGCGGUGAGGCGGAGCGAGAGCGUACACGUUGGGACCCGAAAGAUGGUGAACUAUGCCUGAGUAGGACGAAGCCAGAGGAAACUCUGGUGGAAGUCCGUAGCGAUUCUGACGUGCAAAUCGAUCGUCGAACUUGGGUAUAGGGGCGAAAGACUAAUCGAACCGUCUA
rnacentral:rRNA from 1 species